GUACACGUAGCUCAGCUGGUUAGAGCUCUGGAUUGUGGUUCCAGCGGCCGGGGGUUCGAAUCCCCUCGUGUACC
rnacentral:tRNA from 1 species